UGCAAGUCGAGCGCCCAGCAAUGGGAGCGGCAGACGGGUGAGUAACGCGUGGGGAUCUACCCAUUGGUACGGAAUAACCCAGGGAAACUUGGACUAAUACCGUAUGUGCCCUUCGGGGGAAAGAUUUAUCGCCAAUGGAUGAACCCGCGUCGGAUUAGCUAGUUGGUGAGGUAAAGGCUCACCAAGGCGACGAUCCGUAGCUGGUCUGAGAGGAUGAUCAGCCACACUGGGACUGAGACACGGCCCAGACUCCUACGGGAGGCAGCAGUGGGGAAUAUUGGACAAUGGGCGCAAGCCUGAUCCAGCCAUGCCGCGUGAGUGAUGAAGGCCUUAGGGUUGUAAAGCUCUUUCGCCGGUGAAGAUAAUGACGGUAACCGGAGAAGAAGCCCCGGCUAACUUCGUGCCAGCAGCCGCGGUAAUACGAAGGGGGCUAGCGUUGCUCGGAAUCACUGGGCGUAAAGCGCACGUAGGCGGAUCGUUAAGUCAGGGGUGAAAUCCUGGGGCUCAACCUCAGAACUGCCCUUGAUACUGGCGAUCUCGAGUUCGAGAGAGGUUGGUGGAACUCCGAGUGUAGAGGUGAAAUUCGUAGAUAUUCGGAAGAACACCAGUGGCGAAGGCGGCCAACUGGCUCGAUACUGACGCUGA
rnacentral:rRNA from 1 species